UAACAGGAAGCAGCUUGCUGCUUUGCUGACGAGUGGCGGACGGGUGAGUAAUGUCUGGGAAACUGCCUGAUGGAGGGGGAUAACUACUGGAAACGGUAGCUAAUACCGCAUAACGUCGCAAGACCAAAGAGGGGGACCUUCGGGCCUCUUGCCAUCGGAUGUGCCCAGAUGGGAUUAGCUAGUAGGUGGGGUAACGGCUCACCUAGGCGACGAUCCCUAGCUGGUCUGAGAGGAUGACCAGCCACACUGGAACUGAGACACGGUCCAGACUCCUACGGGAGGCAGCAGUGGGGAAUAUUGCACAAUGGGCGCAAGCCUGAUGCAGCCAUGCCGCGUGUAUGAAGAAGGCCUUCGGGUUGUAAAGUACUUUCAGCGGGGAGGAAGGGAGUAAAGUUAAUACCUUUGCUCAUUGACGUUACCCGCAGAAGAAGCACCGGCCAACUCCGUGCCAGCAGCCGCGGUAAUACGGAGGGUGCAAGCGUUAAUCGGAAUUACUGGGCGUAAAGCGCACGCAGGCGGUUUGUUAAGUCAGAUGUGAAAUCCCCGGGCUCAACCUGGGAACUGCAUCUGAUACUGGCAAGCUUGAGUCUCGUAGAGGGGGGUAGAAUUCCAGGUGUAGCGGUGAAAUGCGUAGAGAUCUGGAGGAAUACCGGUGGCGAAGGCGGCCCCCUGGACGAAGACUGACGCUCAGGUGCGAAAGCGUGGGGGGCAAACAGG
rnacentral:rRNA from 1 species